rnacentral:rRNA from 1 species
GACGAACGCUGGCGGCGUGCUUAACACAUGCAAGUCGAACGGUAAGGCCCUUCGGGGUCCACGAGUGGCGAACGGGUGAGUAACACGUGGGUGAUCUGCCCUGCACUUCGGGAUAAGCCUGGGAAACUGGGUCUAAUACCGGAUAGGACCACUGCCUGCAUGGGUGGUGGUGGCAAGAUUUUGCGGUGUGGGAUGGGCCCGCGGCCUAUCGGCUUGUUGGUGGGGUGAUGGCUUACCAAGGCGACGACGGGUAGCCGGCCUGAGAGGGUGACCGGCCACACUGGGACUGAGAUACGGCCCAGACUGCUACGGGAGGCAGCAGUGGGGAAUAUUGCACAAUGGGCGCAAGCCUGAUGCAGCGACGCCGCGUGAGGGAUGACGGCCUUCGGGUUGUAAACCUCUCUCAGCACCGACGAAGCGCAAGUGACGGUAGGUGCAGAAGAAGGACCGGCCAACUACGUGCCAGCAGCCGCGGUAA